AAUGUGGUUAAUGAUGCUGAACUUUUUUCCCCAUCAUAUCGACCGUGGUGAUGCUCUGAAACUAAGCCAGUUUUGUCUGAAACCACAUU
rnacentral:snoRNA from 1 species